GGUCGAUUAGCUUAGUUGGUAGAGCGUGGUACUAAUACUGCGUGUAUCAAUGCCAAGGUCAUGGGUUCGAGCCCCAUAUGGACCA
rfam:Melampsora larici-populina 98AG31 unplaced genomic scaffold MELLAscaffold_32, whole genome shotgun sequence.